rnacentral:rRNA from 1 species
UACGUAGGGUGCAAGCGUUAAUCGGAAUUACUGGGCGUAAAGCGUGCGCAGGCGGUUGUGUAAGACAGAUGUGAAAUCCCCCGGGCUCAACCUGGGAACUGCAUUUGUGACUGCACAGCUGGAGUGCGGCAGAGGGGGGAUGGAAUUCCGCGUGUAGCAGUGAAAUGCGUAGAUAUCUGGAGGAACACCGGUGGCGAAGGCGGCAUCC